rnacentral:misc_RNA from 1 species
CCGAGCGAGGGCCCUCGGGCCCGACCUCCAACCCUAUUGUCGACCCACCUGUUGCCUCGGGGGCGACCCGGCCUCCGCGUCGGGGCCCCCGGUGGACCUUUACCAUUCUGUGUCUAUACGUCGGAGUACUUAGAUGAAUCUAAUCA